UACGUAGGGUGCGAGCGUUGUCCGGAAUUAUUGGGCGUAAAGGGCUCGUAGGCGGUUUGUCGCGUCGGGAGUGAAAACCCAGGGCUUAACUCUGGGCUUGCUUUCGAUACGGGCAGACUAGAGGUAUGCAGGGGAGAACGGAAUUCCUGGUGGUAGCGGUGAAAUGCGCAGAUAUCAGGAGGAACACCGGUGGCGAAGGCG
rnacentral:rRNA from 1 species